rnacentral:rRNA from 1 species
UCGCGACCCCAGGUCAGGCGGGACUAC